CAUAUACUGAUACAGGUAAAGGCUCUUGAUCCAAGAAAGUGAAGCAAUUCUCACCUUCUUCGAAUAUGAUUCCCCUGACCCAGGUGUUGUAUGACCCAGGUGUUGUAUGACCCAGGUGUUGUAUGACCCAGGUGUUGUAUGACCCAGGUGUUGUAUGACCCAGGUGUUGUAUGACCCAGGUGUUGUAUGACCCAGGUGUUGUAUGACCCAGGUGAUGUAUGACCCAGGUGUUGUAUGACCCAGGUGAUGUAUGACCCAGGUGAUGUAUGACCCAGUGUUGUAUUUCACAGG